GUCUAUGGCCAUGCCACCCUGAAUGUGUCUAAUCUUGUCUGAUCUCAGAAACUAAGCAGGGUUGGUCCUGGUUAGUACUUGGAUGGGAGACCACCUAGGAAGACCAGGU
rnacentral:rRNA from 1 species